rnacentral:rRNA from 1 species
UGGGGAAUAUUGGACAAUGGGCGCAAGCCUGAUCCAGCCAUGCCGCGUGAGUGAUGAAGGCCCUAGGGUUGUAAAGCUCUUUCACCGGUGAAGAUAAUGACGGUAACCGGAGAAGAAGCCCCGGCUAACUUCGUGCCAGCAGCCGCGGUAAUACGAAGGGGGCUAGCGUUGUUCGGAUUUACUGGGCGUAAAGCGCACGUAGGCGGACUUUUAAGUCAGGGGUGAAAUCCCGGGGCUCAACCCCGGAACUGCCUUUGAUACUGUAAGUCUUGAGUAUGGUAGAGGUGAGUGGAAUUCCGAGUGUAGAGGGGAAAUUCGUAGAAAUUCGGAGGAACACCAGUGGCGAAGACGGCUCACUGGACCAUUACUGACGCUGAGGUGCGAAAGCGUGGGGAGCAAACAGG